rnacentral:tRNA from 1 species
GCGCCGCGCGGGACCGAUGAGCGCGGCAUCGACGGGGCUCUUAAUCCGCGGGUUCGGGGUUCGAGUCCCUGGCGGCGCA